UAAACGUAAAAGGCGUUUACAUACGCAAUAUCUAAUACUGUGUAUAUCAUUAUGAAGUGCUAAUUCGAAAGGAAAGAGACAAAGCAGUAGAGUGACAGGUACGAAAGAACGUUGUAUUAUUGAACGAUCCAUAAGAAGAAAUAAGAAAGCAAUUGUUUUACGAGAAACACGUAGACUUUAAUUGCAUAAAAAUGCCGAAUUUAUCUAGUAUAUCUAGCUAUCCAUUAAAGGUAAUUUUUGCAAUUCAUCUGGUUCUUGUAACAUGGGGUAUUCAAGGAUGUUGGUGCCCAAAAUCUGCAAUGAUGUACAAUUUACUAUUUUUCAUUUGCUUACUCUGGGCUGUGCAUAACAUUGAAUCAGAUGAACCAUUACAAUUUGCUCUCUUCAUAAACGUUUUAUCAAUAUUUUUUGACAUAGUGACUUUGUCUGUUUACUAUCCAAUCGGUCUAGCAUAUGCGUCUGAUAAGUUUAGUGCAGCGUUUAUGAUAAUAAACCUGGUCGUGCGUGUUGUCACGAGUAUAUAUCUAUUGCGGAUAGGACAAGCAAGAGGUGGAAGUCUUGCUACGAUGUUUACACCCUGUCCUGCCAUGGGUCAGUAGUCCAUAGGAUACAGAUGUGCCUUGCUAGCCUUGUAUUGCUUCUACAAUUUUCUGCUUUACGUAUAACUCGACAGGAUUACGAGGACAUAUCCCAUCCGAUACCUCAAAAUUCUGAUUUCGUUGGAAUUUAAGUUAUUUUGAUGGUAUAUAUUGUAAAACUUAUAAUGUUCGAUCUUGAAUUUGUUUUUUUGUGGGCGGAUCAUUUAACAGAAGCUUAUAUGUACAAUGAUAUAAAUCUCACAUGAUAUAUUUUCAUUAUUUCUUAUAUUCCAAAACAAC